GGAAUAUUGGUCAAUGGGCGCAAGCCUGAACCAGCCAUGCCGCGUGCAGGAUGACGGUCCUAUGGAUUGUAAACUGCUUUUGUACGAGAAGAAACACUACUUUGUGAAGUAGCUUGACGGUAUCGUAAGACUAAGGAUCGGCUAACUCCGUGCCAGCAGCCGCGGUACUACGGAGGAUCCAAGCGUUAUCCGGAAUCAUUGGGUUUAAAGGGUCCGUAGGCGGUCUUAUAAGUCAGUGGUGAAAUCUCCCCGCUCAACGGGGAAACUGCCAUUGAUACUGUAGGACUUGAAUAAUUAGGAAGUAACUAGAAUAUGUAGUGUAGCGGUGAAAUGCUUAGAGAUUACAUGGAAUACCAAUUGCGAAGGCAGGUUACUAACAAACGAUUGACGCUGAUGGACGAAAGCGUGGGUAGCGAAC
rnacentral:rRNA from 1 species